rnacentral:rRNA from 1 species
CGGAGGGUGCUAGCGUUGUUCGGAAUUACUGGGCGUAAAGCGCGCGUAGGCGGUCUGACAGGUCAGUGGUGAAAUCCCGGGGCUUAACCCCGGAAUUGCCAUUGAAACUGUUGGACUGGAGUCAAGUAGGGGAUAGUGGAAUUCCUAGUGUAGAGGUGAAAUUCGUAGAUAUUAGGAGGAACACCGGAGGCGAAGGCGACUAUCUGGACUUGAACUGACGCUGAGGCGCGAAAGCGUGGGGAGCAAACAGGAUUAGAUACCCUGGUAGUCCACGCUGUAAACGAUGGGUGCUAGAUAUUGGAACUUUAUGUUUCGGUGUCGUAGCUAACGCGUUAAGCACCCCGCCUGGGGAGUACGGUCGCAAGAUUA